AGUGAACGCUGGCGGCAGGCCUAACACAUGCAAGUCGAGCGGCAGCGGGUCCUUCGGGAUGCCGGCGAGCGGCGGACGGGUGAGGAAUACAUCGGAAUCUGCCCUGUCGUGGGGGAUAACCUAGGGAAACUUAGGCUAAUACCGCAUACGACCUACGGGUGAAAGCGGGGGAUCGCAAGACCUCGCGCGACAGGAUGAGCCGAUGUCCGAUUAGCUAGUUGGCGGGGUAAAGGCCCACCAAGGCGACGAUCGGUAGCUGGUCUGAGAGGAUGAUCAGCCACACUGGGACUGAGACACGGCCCAGACUCCUACGGGAGGCAGCAGUGGGGAAUAUUGGACAAUGGGCGAAAGCCUGAUCCAGCCAUGCCGCGUGGGUGAAGAAGGCCUUCGGGUUGUAAAGCCCUUUUGUCCGGGAAGAAAUCGUCUGGGCUAAUACCCCGGGCGGAUGACGGUACCGAAAGAAUAAGCACCGGCUAACUUCGUG
rnacentral:rRNA from 1 species